GCGGCCUAUCAGCUUGUUGGUGAGGUAAUGGCUCACCAAGGCAACGACGGGUAGCUGGUCUGAGAGGAUGAUCAGCCACACUGGGACUGAGACACGGCCCAGACUCCUACGGGAGGCAGCAGUGGGGAAUCUUGCGCAAUGGGCGAAAGCCUGACGCAGCAACGCCGCGUGCGGGAAGAAGGCCUUAGGGUUGUAAACCGCUUUCAGCAGGGAAGAAAAUGACUGUACCUGCAGAAGAAGGUGCGGCCAACUACGUGCCAGCAGCCGCGGUGACACGUAGGCACCAAGCGUUGUCCGGAUUUAUUGGGCGUAAAGAGCUCGUAGGCUGUUCAGUUAGUUGGGUGUGAAAACUCCGGGCUUAACCCGGAGCCGCCACCCAAUACUGCUGUGACUAGAGUUCGGUAGGGGAGACUGGAAUUCCU
rnacentral:rRNA from 1 species